ACGGAGGGGGCUAGCGUUGUUCGGAAUUACUGGGCGUAAAGCGCACGUAGGCGGCUUUGUAAGUUAGAGGUGAAAGCCCGGAGCUCAACUCCGGAAUUGCCUUUAAGACUGCAUCGCUAGAACGUCGGAGAGGUGAGUGGAAUUCCGAGUGUAGAGGUGAAAUUCGUAGAUAUUCGGAAGAACACCAGUGGCGAAGGCGACUCACUGGACGACUGUUGACGCUGAGGAGCGAAAGCGUGGGGAGCAAACAGGAUUAGAUACCCUGGUAGUCCACGCCGUAAACGAUGAUGACUAGCUGUCGGGGCUCUUAGAGCUUCGGUGGCGCAGCUAACGCGUUAAGUCAUCCGCCUGGGGAGUACGGUCGCAAGAUUA
rnacentral:rRNA from 1 species